rnacentral:tRNA from 1 species
GCGCCCGUAGCUCAGCCCGGAUCAGAGCACAAGCCUCCGAAGCUUGGGGCCAAGGGUUCAAAUCCCUUCGGGCGCACCA